UGGGGAAUAUUGCGCAAUGGGGGAAACCCUGACGCAGCGACGCCGCGUGCGGGAUGAAGGCCUUCGGGUUGUAAACCGCUUUUGAUUGGGAGCAAGCUUUCGGGUGAGUGUACCUUUCGAAUAAGCGCCGGCUAACUACGUGCCAGCAGCCGCGGUAAUACGUAGGGCGCAAGCGUUAUCCGGAAUUAUUGGGCGUAAAGCGAGCGCAGGCGGUUAGAUAAGUCUGAAGUUAAAGGCAGUGGCUCAACCAUUGUAGGCUUUGGAAACUGUUUAACUUGAGUGCAGAAGGGGAGAGUGGAAUUCCAUGUGUAGCGGUGAAAUGCGUAGAUAUAUGGAGGAACACCGGUGGCGAAAGCGGCUCUCUGGUCUGUAACUGACGCUGAGGCUCGAAAGCGUGGGUAGCAAACAGG
rnacentral:rRNA from 1 species